rnacentral:rRNA from 1 species
UUGGAGAGGAGGAGUCCCUGGAGAUGGAGAGGAGUCCCUGGGCGUGGAGUGGAGGAGCGCAUGGGCACCUGCGUUGGUCUGGAUGGAGGUGGAGCUGUGGCGCCUGGAGCUCUGGGGUGGAGCGCCGGCGAGGGAGCUCCGGACCGCGGCGAGGGAGCUUCCGAUCGCGGCGGGGAAGGGCGACCAAAGAGGGGAUCUGG